AUGGAAAACCGAUUUACGUAUGAUGAUUAUCAGAACACGAGUGAAUGGCUUAUGUGCCACACCAAGCACUGACCUCAAGUGGCAGUCAUCUGUGGCUCUGGGUUAGGAAAUCUGGUUGAUAAAUUAACUGACACCCAGAGCUUUGACUACAGCGAGAUUCCAAACUUUCCCUGAAGUACAGUGCCUGGUCAUGCUGGUCGACUGGUGUUUGGGUUCCUGAAUGGCAGGGCCUGUGUGAUGAUGCAGGGCAGGUUCCACAUGUAUGAAGGCUACCCGAUCUGGAAGGUGACAUUCCCAGUGAGGGUUUUCUUCCUUAUGGGCGUGGACACCCUAGUGGUCACCAAUGCAGCUGGAGGACUCAACCCUGAGUUUGAGGUCGGAGAUAUCAUGCUGAUCCGUGAUCACAUCAACUUUCCUGGCUUCAGUGGUGUAAACCCUCUCAUAGGGCCCAAUGACGAAAGGUUUGGACUUCGUUUUCCUGCCAUGUCUGAUGCCUAUGACCGGGAUAUGCGGCAGAACGCUCACAGGGCCUGGAAACAGAUGGGGGAGCAGAGAGAGCUGAAGGAAGGCAUCUAUGUGAUGUUGGCAGGCCCGUCUUUUGAGACUCUGGCUGAAUGUUGGCUGCUGCAGAAGCUGGGGGCAGAUGCAGUUGGCAUGAGCACGGUACCAGAAGUUAUAGUUGCAAGGCACUGUGGACUUCGAGUCUUUGGCUUCUCCCUCAUCACUAACAAAGUCGUCUUGGAUUAUGAAGCCAAGGAGAAGGUCAAUCAUGAGGAAGUACUAGAGGCUGGGAGACAAGCAGCACAAAAAUUGGAACAGUUUGUCUCUAUUCUUAUGACCAGUAUUCCACCACCUGCCAAAGCCAGCUAACGAGCCCUGGAGUGGUCUGGCCUCUCCAUAAUGGGAUCCAGGUAGCUACUACACACUUCGGCCCCUUGCUGGGGUCACGUGCCUCUGCCCUUCAGUAGUAGGAAAAGAGAGGAAGAUCACUAUCCUUCACCUUUCCCAUUUCUCCCACCAGACCCUUCUGCACUGGCUCUUCUGCUCAGUUAUCUCAAAGCAGUUAUCAUCUCCUCCCCCAGCCCAAGAGCUAGAACCCAAGCCCUGCUGUGCCUAUGCCUGGGUGUGACUUGGGCUGUUGAACUUGGCCCAGUAGCUACUGCUGUCCUUUUGAUGUAAUGCUUUCACAUUCCUGGGGACUUGGUUCUGCCUCCUCCAAAGCACUAGAGCCCACACGAGGGCUAGCCCAGUCUGAUACCCCUUGGAGUUUUGUAUUACCCUAUUUUGAGAAUAAAAAGAAAGAUGAACUAA